UGCUCGGUAGUGGGGGACUGCUGGGAGAUAUUGGUCCAGACGGUGGGGCUAGUCUCUUCCAUUGAUGACUGAUUGAUUGUGUGCAUGUGUGUGUCCAUGUGUGUGAGCAUGCAUGUUUAUAUAUGAUUGUGUAUAGGCUGGAGGUCAAGAUUGGAUAUCUUCAUCUUUCUCUCCACCUUACUUUUUUGAGGCAGGGUCUCUCCCUGAAUCUGGAGCCCACUCCUUCUGCUUUUGGAACACAAGCAUGUGCUGACGUAUGUUAUGGCUUGUUAUGUGGGCGCUGGGCAUCUGGACCCAGGUCCUCAUGUCUACACAGUAUGCCCUUUAGUAACUGAAAUACACAGGACAGGCCUUUUUCUUAUCCUGUGGCUGAGCCACCUGUCCCCUCCUCAUAGAGGACAGAAGCACACAUUCUUGGCCCUCCUGUCCCAAGAUAGUCUAGUCUUAGUAGACAGAAGCGAACACAUACAAAUUCUAUUUCUUUUCCAUGCUUGUUUAAACAGAUGACAGAAUUGUAUACACACGUCGCAGGCCGUUUUCAGUCUAAACAAUAACAACGGGUUGUUGCCGGCUUCUCUGUGGCUAGGGACUCUUCCUUCUUAGGAAUUUAUCUAAACAUCUUCCUGCAGAUGGAUGUGUUUCCAGUCCUUGGCUCUUUCAAGUGGCUGUCCUCUGUCCAUCUCUGAGACAAAUGCACGGCCAUCCCUGUCUCAGAAAUGGGACAGCCUGGUCAUAGAGGCGUGUUUCCAAGCCCCUGUGACCUCUGGUACCAGUUGACUGCUCUGGCCUGGUCCUUGGAAUGCUGCAGAGUGAUCAGAUUUUGCUACAGGGACCUGAGCAGGUGCCAGGGUGGGGAUCUCCCAUCCCAGGGCCUUUUCUAGAAUGUGCUUAGUCAAACCUGGCACCCUGAGCUAGGAUAAGCUGAGGUGAGCGGGUUGAGACAAAGCUACCUCACUUAAAGAGUGGCGUGUGGGUACCUCUUUGUGCCUGGCGGCAGUCUCCGAUGCCAGCAAAGAAUUCCCAAGUGCAUUAUUUCUGGCCCCCUUUUUACUCUGCUUCCGAAAUGGAGACUUUUAUGACAAGGUAUUGCUUUUUAGGAAGGGCAUUCUUCAAGGAGAAGGAGUGGUACCAGUCCCCACGGAGGGCUUAUGGGUAGUGAUGCUCACACUAAUCUCCCAAUGUCAUCCUCAGCACAUGUCACCCGCCCUGUAGUGGGCUUUCGCUAGCUCUUCUCCAUAGCUGGUCAGAUGGGCAAAGAGAAGGUUUUGCACAGGGCAGUCUCCUGGAGUUCUUCUUCCUCCUGCCACUCCCCUUCCCCUCCUCAAGGAGUGAUGGUGAUGGUGGUUUGUACCAUUCAGGUAGGGUACCCUUGGCUGUGGGCAUGACAUGGGCUCUUUGACUUGGGCUCUCCACAAAGAGGGUCCUUUGUCCUUUCUGUAUUGCCCUGCCUCUGACACUCUAGAGUUUAGGACCUUUCACUUGAAAAAAAACCACGUCUGUCUUACCUGUGCCUGGGAGCUGGUCGGUGUUGACAGAGCCAUGCUCUGGGGUCCUCCCUCUCCGGCCCUUCUUUCUUUCUUUUUUUUUUUUUUUUAAAGAUUUAUUUAUUAUAUGUAAGUACACUGUAGCUGUCUUCAGACACUCCAGAUCUCGUUACGGAUGGUUGAGAGCCACCAUGUGGUUGCUGGGAUUUGAACUCCGGACCUUCGGAAGAGCAGUCGGGUGCUCUUACCCACUGAGCCAUCUCACCAGCCCCCGGCCCUUCUUUCUACAGCUUCCAUUUGUCCUGAGAGUCUGGGACAGUGAGGCCACAUAAACAGAGCAGCAUGUCACAGAUGGCCUGAGGACGCAGAAUUCUGCCUGGACCACCCAAGGCUUGGCCCUGUAUCUCUUGGGAAACCCUCUGUCCCAGCUGUACAUGCCUGGCCCUGUCACUGUGCUGUUUUCCUGUCUUUCCUGAGUGUUUAGGAGGUGACAGCUGGAUGAUACCCUGGAGGGCCAGAGCAGGAAGCAGAAGGAAUAAGGAUUCCAGCCUGAAUCAGUUUGCUUGCCAAAUGGAGCUUUGUUUUCAGAUCAUUGCCAUUGGGGUUUGAGACGAAGGUGCUUUGCUUCUGUCUCGGACAGGGCAUUUGGCCAAAGCCCCACUGACUUUGGCUUUGCCUAUAGGCUGAGUGCCUUAAAGGGGCAUUGACCAGUGUCUCCAACAUCAUUUUACCUUACUGCCUCUCCUUCAAGCUACGACUUGUGGUUCUCAAGGUCUGAUGGAGACCGAAGCUCCUUACAUCCAUCCAAGGCCUCCACAGAGGAUCCGUUAUGCCCUUGGAUGGGAAACCACAACUCAUCAGAGUGACAUUGCCCGGGUGGGCCGUAUGACUGGCACCUUCUUUACUGAAGAUGGUGAUACCAAUGACUGGUCACUGGACUGGUGGGUGUCUGCAGCUAAGCUUAAUCCAGCCUGUUUGGAUAGUUUUAUUUAACCCUUAGAACAGUCCCUCAGGGGUGGAGUUUUUGACACCAGUCCCGCUUAGUGGUAAACUGAGGCAUUACAGCCAGCAGGACAUCCUUGAAGUCACAGAAGAAGCCACAGAAAGAGCCAGGAUUUAAACCUCAAAGGCGCCAUUCCAGAAUCGUACCACCACCGCCCCUAUUGGGUGCUUUGUCAGGGCAGCUGUUGCAGAGGGUUCUCCUUAAUUAAAAGAAGCGCAACUCUUCAUUUGGGGAAAGCAUGUGCCAAGAUCCAGAAGAAUAAAGUAGCCCCUUCACCCACCUGCCAAUCAGCUGCUCCAGCAGUUAACCCAUUCCUGACCUGCCUUGUGGCAGAGCUAACGUGUGGACACCCCUCUGCCCCAGCCACUGCGUUAUUUGUGGUUAAGUGAUCUCCAAAAAAAAGAGUAGGUGUGUGUUUGUGUGCUUGCGUGCAGUGUGAAUGUGCUUGGGCAGGUGUGCACCCAACUUAACCCCUUCCACUUUAGUUUUCGAGACAGGGUGGUCUCUUGCUGCAUCUCUAGUUAACCUAUCCGGUUACACCAGCUGGCCAGGGAGCCCCAGGCAUCUUCCUGUCUCGGCCUCUCUGGUGCUGGAGAUGACCAGCACUGACGACCACAUCUGGCCCUUUACAUGAGUGUGGGGAUCUGAACUCAGUCCCUAAUGCUUGUGUGACCAGCACGUUACUGAAUGAGCCCACGUUCUUUUAAUUAGUUAGUUAAUUAGUUAGUUUUUGAGACAGUGCCACAUGUAGCCCUGUCUUGGAAUUCAUACAGACAGAUGAAGCUGGCCUCAAACCCACAGGGAUUCUCCUAUCCUUGCUUCCCUUGUGCUGGAAUUAAAGGCUUGCGUCACCACAUCUGGCCUGGGCUCUUUGAGAGAAAUAAGGUCACAACUACCACACGGAUAGUCAUUUUCUGUGAUCAAAAGCCCAGGCAAUAUUUUCUUUUCAUUAAAAAAAAAAAGAUUUAUUUAUUUAUUUUAUGUAUAUGAGCACGCUGUAACUAUGCAGAUAGUUGUGAGCCAUUGUGUGGUCGCUGGGAAAUGAACUCAGGACCUCUGCUCACUCCAGCCCUGUUCGCUCUGGCCCAAAGAUUUAUUUAUUAUUACAUGUGAGUACACUGUAGCUGUCUUCAGACACACCUGAAGAGGGCGUCAGAUCUCAUCACGGAUGGUUGUGAGUCACCAUGUGGUUCCUAGGGUUUGAACACAGGGUCUUCAGAAGGGCGGUCAGUGCUCUU
rnacentral:lncRNA from 1 species